rnacentral:rRNA from 1 species
AGCAGCCGCGGUAAUUCCAGCUCCAAUAGCGUAUAUUAAAGUUGUUGCAGUUAAAAAGCUCGUAGUUGAAUUUCGGGGUCAUCAAGUUGGUCGUGCCACUGGUAUGCACUGGCUUUGCUGAUUCCUCCUUCUUGAAGAACUGUAAUGCUAUUAAUUUAGUGUUGCAGGGAAACAGGACUGUUACUUUGAAAAAUUAGAGUGUUUAAAGCAGGCUAACGCUUGAAUACAUUAGCAUGGAAUAAUGAAAUAGGACGUUUGAUCCUAUUUUGUUGGUUUCUAGGAUUGACGUAAUGAUUAAUAGGGAUAGUUGGGGGCAUUAGUAUUCAAUUGUCAGAGGUGAAAUUCUUGGAUUUAUUGAAGACUAACUACUGCGAAAGCAUUUGCCAAGGAUGUUUUCAUUAAUCAAGAACGAAAGUUAGGGGAUCGAAGACGAUCAGAUACCGUCGUAGUCUUAACCAUAAACUAUGCCGACUAGGGAUCGGAUGAUGUUAAUUUUUAAUGA